rnacentral:rRNA from 1 species
CGUGUAGGCGGGUUAUCAAGUCAGAUGUGAAAUUCCAUGGCUCAACUGUGGCGCUGCAUCUGAAACUGAUGAUCUUGAGUGAUGGAGAGGAAAGCGGAAUUCCUAGUGUAGCGGUGAAAUGCGUAGAUAUUAGGAGGAACACCAGUGGCGAAGGCGGCUUUCUGGACAUUAACUGACGCUGAGGCGCGAAAGCGUGGGGAGCAAACAGGAUUAGAUACCCUGGUAGUCCACGCUGUAAACGAUGGAUACUAGGUGUAGGAGGUAUCGACCCCUUCUGUGCCGGAGUUAACACAAUAAGUAUCCCACCUGGGGAGUACGGCCGCAAGGUUGAA